GAUGAACGCUAGCGGCAGGCUUAAUACAUGCAAGUCGAGGGGCAGCAUGACUGUAGCAAUACAGUUGAUGGCGACCGGCAAACGGGUGCGGAACACGUACAGAACCUUCCUUCGAGCGGGGAAUAGCCCAGAGAAAUUUGGAUCAAUACCCCAUAGUAUUACGGCGGGGCAUCACUUUGUAAUUAAAGAUUUAUCCCUUGAAGAUGGCUGUGCGGCUGAUUAGGUAGUUGGCGGGGUAACGGCCCACCAAGCCUGCGAUCAGUACCUGGUGUGAGAGCACGACCAGUCACACGGGCAAUGAGACACGGGCCCGACUCCUACGGGAGGCAGCAGUAAGGAAUAUUGGUCAAUGGACGAAAGUCUGAACCAGCCAUGCCGCGUGGAGGAUGAAGGUCCUCUGGAUUGUAAACUUCUUUUAUAUGGGACGAAAAAAGGCUUUUCUAAGUCGUCUGACGGUACCAUAUGAAUAAGCACCGGCUAACUCCGUGCCAGCAGCCGCCGUAAGAC
rnacentral:rRNA from 1 species